UGAAUACGAGAUGCUACGGCGUCGAAGCAGUCUAUGUCAUACUUCCAAGAAAAGCUUGCACUGUCAUAAACAAAUAAUGCCUGUACCAUAACCGACACAGGUGGGUAGGUAGAGUAUACUAAGGGGCGCGAGAUAACUCUCUCUAAGGAACUCGGCAAAAUGACUCCGUAACUUCGGGAGAAGGAGUGCCUUAUUUAUAAGGUUGCAAUAACAAGAUCCAAGCAACUGUUUACCAAAAACACAGGUCUCCGCUAAGUCGUAAGACGAUGUAUGGGGGCUGACGCCUGCCCAGUGCCAGAAGGUUAAAGAAGUUGGUUAGCAUCCGCGAAGCUGAUAACUGAAGCCCUGGUGAACGGCGGCCGUAACUAUAACGGUCCUAAGGUAGCGAAAUUCCUUGUCGGGUAAGUUCCGACCCGCACGAAAGGCGUAAUGAUUUGGAUACUGUCUCGGAGAGGGGCUCGGUGAAAUAGACUUGUCUGUGAAGAUGCGGACUACCUGCACCAGGACAGAAAGACCCUAUGAAGCUUUACUGUAACCUGAAAUUGAAAUUGGACUUUACUUGCGCAGUAUAGGUGGGAGGCGUUGAGAAUAUUCUUGCGGGAUUAUUGGAGCCAUCAGUGAGAUACCACUCUUGUAAUGUUAGAUUUCUAACUUUGUAUCAUUAUCUGGUCAAAGAACAGUUUCAGGCGGGCAGUUUGACUGGGGCGGUCGCCUCCUAAACGGUAACGGAGGCGCACAAAGGUUUCCUCUGAACGGGUAGAAAUCGUAUCUAGAGUGUAAAGGCAUAAGGAAGCUUGACUGUGAGACCUACAAGUCGAGCAGGGACGAAAGUCGGUCUUAGUGAUCUGACGGUGCUGAGUGGAAAGGCCGUCACUCAACGGAUAAAAGUUACUCUAGGAUAACAGGCUGAUCUCCCCCAAGAGUUCACAUCGACGGGGAGGUUUGGCACCUCGAUGUCGGCUCAUCGCAUCCUGGGGCGGUAGUACGUCCCAAGGGUUGGGCUGUUCGCCCAUGAAAGCGGUACGCGAGCUGGGUUCAGAACGUCGUGAGACAGUUCGGUCCAUAUCCGGUGUAGGCGUUAGAAUAUUGAGAGGAGCCUUCUUUAGUACGAGAGGACCGAGAAGGACAUACCUCUGGUGUACCAGUUAUCGUGCCAACGGUAAACGCUGGGUAGCUAUGUGUGGAGUGGAUAACCGCUGAAAGCAUCUAAGUGGGAAGCCCACCUCAAGAUAAG
rnacentral:rRNA from 1 species